UCCGGUUGAUCCUGCCAGAGGCCGCUGCUAUCCGGCUGGGACUAAGCCAUGCUAGCCUAGGGGCUUGUACUCCUUCGGGGGUGCAAGCACCGGCGGACGGCUCAGUAACACGUGGACAACCUGCCCUCGGGUGGGGGAUAACCCCGGGAAACUGGGGCUAAUCCCCCAUAGGUGAUGGGUGCUGGAAUGCCCCAUCUCCGAAAGCGCUUAGCGCCCGAGGAUGGGUCUGCGGCGGAUUAGGUAGUUGGUGGGGUAACGGCCCACCAAGCCUAAGAUCCGUACGGGCUGUGGGAGCAGGAGCCCGGAGAUGGACCCUGAGACAAGGGUCCAGGCCCUACGGGGCGCAGCAGGCGCGAAACCUCCGCAAUGCGGGAAACCGCGACGGGGUUAGCCGGAGUGCCCGUGCAUUGCACGGGCUGUCGGGGUGCCUAAACAGCACCCCAUAGCAAGGGCCGGGCAAGGCCGGUGGCAGCCGCCGCGGUAAGACCGGCGGCCCGAGUGGCGGCCACUCUUAUUGGGCCUAAAGCGUCCGUAGCCGGCCCAGUAAGUCCCCCGGGAAAUCUGGUCGCUUAACGAUCAGACUUCCGGGGGAUACUGCUGGGCUAGGGACCGGGAGAGGCCGAGGGUA
rnacentral:rRNA from 1 species